rnacentral:misc_RNA from 1 species
UUUGAUAAUCAUGAAUUGCAAAACAUGUAUGAAAAAAAUUUAAGUGAAUUUAGUAACAUUUAUAUUCAUUCAUUAGUCUCGAGUUUUACUUAGUAAAUUUAGCAUGUAAAGUGGAGAAAAUAUGUUAAAGAAAUCCACAUCAUUUCAUAUUUAUUUUUUAUAUGAAUUGUUUAAUAUGAUAUGCAUAUUUGUAUUGCAUUUUUAUAUGUUGAAUGUCUUUACAUUAGUGACUAUAAUGUCAUUUGGCCUUAAGAAAUUUUUUUUUUUUUAAUCAAAGGAAAUUUGUAAACUGAGCCAGUUUUUUAUAUAUCCAUGUCUGAACCUUAUUUUGCAACUUUGGGAAAAAAGAAUUAUCAGAUUCUGUGAGUUGAUGCGUGCAAAUUAAGGAAUCCAAGUUCCAAAAAUUAUUAAUCAAAGAAUUAUGCUGGCUAAAGUAAAGGCAAAUAUGAAAGAAGUAUGCCUAUUAAUCCAAUGAAAAGAUCUUUUAUUUAAUCGCUUAAAAAAAAAAUUGGAGUUUUUAUGUUUGUCAUGUAGAAUGAACUUAACCACAGAUUGUGUAGCAUCAUUUCUCAACAUUUUACAAUGUUCAGUUGUAUUAGCAUACUUCACUUGCGUGUAAUUUUCCCACUAGACUUAAUAAUUUGUCUGUAUUUAUUUUACCUAAUUCUCUGGAAAAACAUGUUGAAAUAUUUACAUUUUCCAGUGUCGUAUACAAAUCAGGGUUCAUUCUUUUGUGUGUUUCAUUUAAUAAUAAAAUUUAUACACAUGUACAUGCAAUUGCCACAUCACUUGGAGGGGACUUGUUUAACAUGAAAUGACUACUUCUUUAUAGUGUACUGUAUUAAUAAUAUUAUGUGGAAAUUUUAGUUCAGACCUGUAAAAAUGUAAAUUUAAGGAACAAUUGUCAUGAAUUAGAUUUAAGAUAGUCAUAAAUCAAUGGUCAACAUGUAAUUUUUAAGCAUAAUUUGCCAUUGUAUGAUAUUAAGCUCUAAAACUUGACAAUUAUUCCUUAUAUACACUUAAUUACUGUAUGUUUCCCUCCAUAAGUAAUAAAUUUCUUAAAAC